rnacentral:rRNA from 1 species
AACGAACGCUAGCGACAGGCCUAACACAUGCAAGUCGAGCGAAGCCUUCGGGCUUAGCGGCGGACGGGUGAGUAACGCAUGGGAACGUGCCCUUUGGUACGGAAUAGCCCCGGGAAACUGGGAGUAAUACCGUAUGUGGUCGAGAGACGAAAGAUUUAUCGCCAAAGGAUCGGCCCGCGUUGGAUUAGGUAGUUGGUGGGGUAAUGGCCUACCAAGCCGACGAUCCAUAGCUGGUUUGAGAGGAUGAUCAGCCACACUAGGACUGAGACACGGCCCAGACUCCUACGGGAGGCAGCAGUGGGGAAUCUUAGACAAUGGGGGAAACCCUGAUCUAGCCAUGCCGCGUGAUCGAUGAAGGCCUUAGGGUUGUAAAGAUCUUUCAGUGGGGAAGAUAAUGACUGUACCCACAGAAGAAGCCCCGGCUAACUUCGUGCCAGCCGCCGCGGUAAGAC